rnacentral:rRNA from 1 species
AAAUAGAACUUUGCAGAGAGAGUUAACAGGGCGUGAAACCGUUAAUUGGCAAACGAAUCGGAGCCACGAAGUCGUUUCGAUGCUAGUUGGGCCAGGUUCAGUUUGGAAACCAAAAGUUUCCGGGCGUAUUCUUGGUGCAACCAUUGUAAGCGUACACUGCAACCAGUUAGACAGUUGAAGAUGGAACCAGUUGUUAUAGUUAGUAAUGGUAGGGAAUUCUUCGGGAUUUGUUGCCGUUGAGCUAAAGCAAGUGAACUAUCUUCAAGUACUGACUGGCACAAUGAAAAUCGCCUCUAUGGGCGUUUUAUAUAAUGCGGUUAGCUAUACUUGUAUCUACACGUUGAACCAUGGAGUUUAAGCUUGACAUCUUUGAAUUUGGACUGGCCAUCUACUAAAGGGCAACCUUUGGUGUUGGUUUAGCUUCCAUCUAAUCGGGUGUUGACUUGAUUUUAUGUUGUUUUAACGUGAAACGAUAGGGUGCUAGUAUAAGUUGAUUCGCCAUUAAUUGGCAGUGAGUAGGUCGGCUUUCCGAACGACCCGUCUUGAAACACGGACCAAGGAGUCUAAUUAGGCAUCGAGUCGAUCGGUCUUGAAUAGGCCAGACAUGGGAAUUCUCUCAGAUUGAAGGCGUAGAGACAUGUGAUCAUGGGGACAAAACCAGUCCCUAUGCGCAACAUGUGCCUGUUCGUAUAACAAUGUGGAAAAUUGUUGGCGGAGCAAAGAGAUGCCUGAUUGGUACCCGAAAGAUGGUGAGCUUGGGCAAGUUGAAGCCAGAGGAAACUCUGGUGGAGGACUGUAGCGAUUCUGACGUGCAAAUCGAUCGUCAGAACUGAGUAUAGGGGCGAAAGACUAAUCGAACCAUC